rfam:Burkholderiales bacterium 70-64 SCNpilot_expt_1000_bf_scaffold_579, whole genome shotgun sequence.
AGCUCUCCCCCAUGCGCUGCUGACAGUCGUCAGCACCAUGCCCUGGCAGCCCCGGUCUUCAAGGCUGCAACGCGCCUCGCCGCGCUGACCGCACCAGUCCGCUUCGCAUCGACCACCGCGGACGAGCGUUUCACAACGCCGAUGC